ACUCCUACGGGAGGCAGCAGUGAGGAAUAUUGGUCAAUGGGGGCAACCCUGAACCAGCCAUGCCGCGUGCAGGAAGACGGCCCUAUGGGUUGUAAACUGCUUUUGUACGGGAAUAAUGGGUUCUACGUGUAGAGCUAUGAAUGUACCGUACGAAUAAGCAUCGGCUAACUCCGUGCCAGCAGCCGCGGUAAU
rnacentral:rRNA from 1 species